GGCCUGGUAAACAUAUGAAAAUAUCGACGGCCUCCGGAGCCGUGUGCGCAGGUUCGAAUCCUGCCGGGGGCACCC
rnacentral:tRNA from 1 species